rnacentral:rRNA from 1 species
AUACGUAGGGGGCAAGCGUUGUCCGGAUUCACUGGGCGUAAGGCGCGCGCAGGCGGUGAUGUAAGUCUGAGGUGAAAACCCGAAGCUCAACUUCGGGACUGCCUUGGAUACUGCGUCACUUGAGGAUAGGAGAGGCAAGGGGAAUUCCACGUGUAGCGGUGAAAUGCGUAGAGAUGUGGAGGAACACCUGCGGCGAAGGCGCCUUGCUGGCCUAUUUCUGACGCUGAGGCGCGAAAGCGUGGGGAGC